rfam:Nomascus leucogenys chromosome 20, whole genome shotgun sequence.
GCUAGGUGGGCACCCGCUUAUAGUCCCAGCAACUCAGGAGGCUGAGGCAGGAAAAUCUCUUGAGCCCAGGAGUUCUAGGCUUUAGUAAGCUAUGCCAAUCAGAGAUCUGCACUAAGUUUGGCAUCAAUACAGUGACCUCCAGGGAGCAAGAUUGCCUAAGGAGUGGUGAACUGGCCCAGGUCAGAAACAGAGCAGGUUAAAACUUCUGUGCUGAUCAGUAGUGGGAUCACGACCAUGAAUAGCCACUGCGCUUCAGCCUGGGCAAUAUAUAGCAAGACGCUGUCUCUU